rnacentral:rRNA from 1 species
UACGGGGGGGGCAAGCGUUGUUCGGAAUUACUGGGCGUAAAGGGCCAGUAGGCGGCCAACUAAGUCGGAUGUGAAAUCCCCAGGCUUAACCUGGGAACUGCAUCCGAUACUGGAUGGCUUGAAUUCGGGAGAGGGAUGCAGAAUUCCAGGUGUAGCGGUGAAAUGCGUAGAGAUCAGGAAGAACAUCGGUGGCGAAGGCGCUCUGCUGGACCAUAACUGACACUCAGGGACGAAAGCUAGGGGAGCGAAUGGG